rnacentral:rRNA from 1 species
CCUACGGGAGGCAGCAGUGGGGAAUAUUGCGCAAUGGGCGAAAGCCUGACGCAGCGACGCCGCGUGAGGGAUGAAGGUCUUCGGAACGUAAACCCCUGUCAGCAGGGAAGAACGGUCACUGUGCUAAUCAGCAGUGAAUUGACGGUACCUGCAAAGGAAGCACCGCCUCACUCCGUGCCAGCAGCCGCGGUAAUACGGAGGGUGCGAGCGUUAAUCGGAAUUACUGGGAGUAAAGGGCUCGUAGGCGGUAUGUCAAGUCAAGGGUGAAAUCCCCGCGCUUAACGUGGGAACUGCCUUUGAUACUGGCAGACUUGAGUGUGUGAGAGGAAAGUGGAAUUCCAGGUGUAGGAGUGAAAUGCGUAGAUAUCUGGAGGAACAUCAGUGGCGAAGGCGACUAUCUGGCACAUAACUGACGCUGAGGAGCGAAAGCGUGGGUAGCGAACAGGAUUAGAUACCCCGGUAGUC